GUACUAUGUUUGGAAUGAGUACAAUUUAAAAAACCUUAACGAGGAACAAUUGGAGGGCAAGUCUGGUGCCAGCAGCCGCGGUAAUUCCAGCUCCAAUAGUGUAUAUUAAAGUUGCUGCGGUUAAAAAGCUCGUAGUUGGAUUUCGGAGUUGUUAUCUGAACCUUCUCGCCAUAAAAAGUGGGGGGGCUAAGGUAGCAGUAGUUUUCAUCAUAGUCCACCAGGAUACUCUCUUGGUGUGUACUGGGGUGUUAACCUCCUUUUUUUCUGGUACUUGCUAUCCAGCAAUGGGUAGUUUUGUCCAGAUAGUUUACUUUGAAAAAUUAGAGUGUUCAAAGCAGGCAUAAUUGGCAUCAUGAAUACAUUAGCAUGGGAUAAUAGAAUAUGACAUUGGUCUUAUUUUGUUGGUUUCUAAGGCCAAAGUAAUGAUUGAUAGGAUAGUUGGGGCCGCUCGUAUUGAGUUGUCAGAGGUGAAAUUCUAGGAUUUACUCAAGACGAACUAAUGCGAAAGCAUUCGGCAAGGAUGUUUUCAUUAAUCAAGAAACG
rnacentral:rRNA from 1 species